CAUGCCUUUCACCUGAGCAG
rnacentral:misc_RNA from 1 species